GGCCAGAUGGUACAGCCUGUUGCUCC
rnacentral:piRNA from 1 species